GACGUAGGGGAUGAGCGUUGUCCGGAUUCAUUGGGCGUAAAGCGCGCGUAGGCGGCCACGCAAGUCGGGUGUGAAAUCCCGGAGCUCAACUCCGGAACUGCACUCGAAACUGCGCGGCUUGAGGUAGGUAGGGGAGAUCGGAAUUCCUGGUGUAGCGGUGGAAUGCGCAGAUAUCAGGAGGAACACCGGUGGCGAAGGCGGAUCUCUGGGCCUUACCUGACGCUGAGACGCGAAAGCUAGGGGAGCGAACAGG
rnacentral:rRNA from 1 species